rnacentral:rRNA from 2 species
AAAUUGAAGAGUUUGAUCAUGGCUCAGAUUGAACGCUGGCGGCAGGCCUAACACAUGCAAGUCGAACGGUAACAGGAAGCAGCUUGCUGCUUCGCUGACGAGUGGCGGACGGGUGAGUAAUGUCUGGGAAACUGCCUGAUGGAGGGGGAUAACUACUGGAAACGGUGGCUAAUACCGCAUAACGUCGCAAGACCAAAGAGGGGGACCUUCGGGCCUCUUGCCAUCAGAUGUGCCCAGAUGGGAUUAGCUGGUUGGUGAGGUAACGGCUCACCAAGGCGACGAUCCCUAGCUGGUCUGAGAGGAUGACCAGCCACACUGGAACUGAGACACGGUCCAGACUCCUACGGGAGGCAGCAGUGGGGAAUAUUGCACAAUGGGCGCAAGCCUGAUGCAGCCAUGCCGCGUGUAUGAAGAAGGCCUUCGGGUUGUAAAGUACUUUCAGCGGGGAGGAAGGUGUUGUGGUUAAUAACUGCAGCAAUUGACGUUACCCGCAGAAGAAGCACCGGCUAACUCCGUGCCAGCAGCCGCGGUAAUACGGAGGG